rnacentral:rRNA from 1 species
UACAGAGGGGGCAAGCGUUAUUCGGAAUUAUUGGGCGUAAAGGGCGCGUAGGCGGCCUUGCAAGUGGCGGGUGAAAUCCCUCGGCUUAACCGAGGAACUGCCUGCCAGACUGCAAGGCUCGAGACCGGGAGAGGUGAGUGGAAUUCCCAGUGUAGCGGUGAAAUGCGUAGAUAUCGGAAGGAACAUCAGUGGCGAAGGCGACUUCCUGGACCAAUACUGACGCUCAGGUGCGAAAGCGUGGGGAGCAAACAGG